AUUGAACGCUGGCGGCAGGCCUAACACAUGCUAGUCGAGCGAGCGGCGGACGGGUGAGUAAUGUCUGGGAAACUGCCUGCUGGAGGGGGAUAACUACUGGAAACGGUAGCUAAUACCGCAUACCAUCAGAUGUGCCCAGAUGGGAUUAGCUAGUAGGUGGGGUAAUGGCUCACCUAGGCGACGAUCCCUAGCUGGUCUGAGAGGAUGACCAGGCACACUGGAACGGAGACACGGUCCAGACUCCUACGGGAGGCAGCAGGGGGGAAGAGGGCACAAUGGGCGAAAGCCGGAUGCAGCCAUGCCGCGUGGGUGAAGAAGGCCGUCGGGUUGGAAAGCACUUUUGGCAGGAAAGCGGUACCUGCAGAAUAAGCACCGGCUAACUACGUGCCAGCAGCCGCGGUAAUAC
rnacentral:rRNA from 1 species